rnacentral:rRNA from 1 species
GAGACGGCUCAUAGUUCUAAGGAAGGCAGCAGGCGCGGAAAUUGCCCAAUGUACCGUUGUGUACGGGGCAGUGACGAGGCGUCGUGAGUCACUUAGGUGACAUUACGAUGAGUGAGGUGUACAGACCCUCGCAAAUGCAAGUCGUGGGAAAGCAUGGUGCCAGCAGCCGCGGUAAUUCCAUCAUGACUAACUCAUUCUUACGGUGCUGCAGUUAAAGCGUCCGUAGCUGGCGGCCUGCCGACUCGAGGAACUCUCGACGCCCAACGUAGCGAGCGCGGUGAGCUGCAGCGAGUUACGGCAACAACAACUAUCGCUAUAGGACAGGGGAAGGCUCCUUCUAUUAUAGGGGGACAGGUGAAAUAGGAUGAUGCCUAUAGGAGGAACAAGUGCGCAGGCACUGAGUCGUCCCCGGUUCGUGGGUCAAGGGCGUUAUCGUGGGGCUAGACGAUGAUUAGAGACCGUUUUACUCCACGUCGUAAACGAUGCUACCUCGCUGUG